CCAGACUCCUACGGGAGGCAGCAGUGAGGAAUAUUGGUCAAUGGGCUUACGCCUGAACCAGCCAAGUCGCGUGAGGGAAGACUGCCCUAUGGGUUGUAAACCUCUUUUGUCAGGGAGCAACGCCGGCUACGUGUAGCCGGACUGAGAGUACCUGAAGAAAAAGCAUCGGCUAACUCCGUGCCAGCAGCCGCGGUAAUACGGAGGAUGCGAGCGUUAUCCGGAUUUAUUGGGUUUAAAGGGUGCGUAGGCGGCGCCUCAGGUCAGCGGUGAAAUACCGGGGCUCAACCCCGGGGCUGCCGUUGAAACCGGAGCGCUAGAAUUCCGAUGCCGUCGGAGGAAUGUGUGGUGUAGCGGUGAAAUGCAUAGAUAUCGCGCAGAACUCCGAUUGCGAAGGCAGCAUGCCGGCUCCACACUGACGCUGAGGCACGAAAGCGUGGGUAUCGAACAGGAUUAGAUACCCUCGUACAC
rnacentral:rRNA from 1 species